GAGCUCCGUAAGUGAGAACGGGAAGGAUACAAGAAUCAAACACUUUGGUUCGAAGGUUUUGUGGUGUCUUGUCUUUCAGUAUAUAUGAGAGAUUGUCAUAAGGGAUAUUUUAGCCUAAAGUUGUCACGCUCGUCAGGCAAGUUGAGAAGUAUCUAUUGGUCCACAGAAGGUAUUUUAUUUUCCUCCUACAGGUUUCCUCGAGAGCAAGAAACUAGGUCAACCAAAAUACCUGAAAAUGAUUGUAUGAGGUAUUUACCAAAUAAGUUUUGAUCACUAACUACUUCAAACAACAUUCACCAAUACAAGAAAACAGUUAAAAGGCAAAGAACAAAUACAAGAAUACCAACGGAAACAAUUAAAUUGCAUAAGAUAUGGGAACAAACAACGAACAUGAGAUACAAAUGAGCUGGGCAUGAAAAAUAAAAGAGAAACAGUAGGUAUAGUAGAAGAGGAGUGGGAAAGAUAUAAAAAGCAAUGAUCAAAAUAGAAAACAUGUAUGUAGGACUACAAGAAAUAACGAAAAAGGGAAGCGGACAGCAUGGUGGAGUGAAGAGGUAAAAAAGAAAAGAAGAAACUAUGGAAGCAGUAAAUGCAAGAGAAAACAAAAUAAAAAUAUAAUAUGUAAUUCCAAAAUGUCGAGAGUAAAAGUCAAGGAAAUAGAAAGAACAAACAAGAAACAGAAAAGUUGAUAAACAUUUUGAUAAAAAAUAUAGGAAAAGAGCAAAGAAAAAUACAUUUAUUUUACAGAACACUCUAACUCUAGAACCUUAAUGGCAACAAAGAAAUAAAAUUAACACACAUAAAGAAAAUGAAAGAACGAUAAUAUCCGAAGAUAAAGAAAUAACGAAAAUAUGAAGUAAAUAUUUUUAGUAAUUGUUAAAUGGUGAGCUGGAAAAGUGAUAGAAAAGGAAGACAAGAAAUGUCUGUGCUAGCACAGAAGCUAUAAAUUGGGAAGAACCAGAAGAGGCAUUAAAGAAGAUAAAGAUUGGAAUGGCCCCAGGGAGCAAUGAAAAGUGCUGAAAUACUGAAAUAUAUAGGGUGAAAAGCAAAGAAAAACUAAUACUUAAUAUACAAUUUUAUAUAAAAUAGAAAACACCGAGAGAGUGAUCAAACGCAAUCCCAAUAUAGUACACAAGAAAUACAAUAAUAAUUGUACCAAUACACAAGAAAGAAAACACGAAACUGUGAAAAUUAUAUAGGUACAUUAUGUCGCCGAGUGCCAGAAUCCAUGGAUUAUUGCGUAUUCCGACGCUUAUCGCUCUUCUCUUUAAGAUUACCAUAUUAUGUUAUUACCCAUAAUAGGAUAAUCUCUUAAUUAUAAUUGCAUUAAAUACCAACAAACAUUACAAACCACCAAUAAAUAAAGGACAUUUUCAACCCAUUGAGAUCAGUUAUUGAUCAACAGUCUUGAUUUACAGUUCAAUUCAGAUCAAUUCAUCUUCCCUGCGGUGACGUGGCGCCCAACGUGGGGCCCUGUCAUCAAGAAAAAUCAGAAUAGAAAUAGAACACAAAUUAGGGGAUGCACAAAGCGGAUUAAGGAAAGAACAUAACACACAAGAUCAUAUUCACAUUCAGCAAAUAACAGGAACAGUGAAAUGAAAGAAAGCCUCAAAA
rnacentral:lncRNA from 1 species